rnacentral:rRNA from 1 species
CUACGGGGGGCUGCAGUGAGGAAUAUUGCACAAUGGGGGGAACCCUGAUGCAGCAACGCCGCGUGGAGGAUGACGCAUUUCGGUGUGUAAACUCCUUUUAUAUGUCAAGAAAAUGACGGUAGCAUAUGAAUAAGCACCGGCUAACUCCGUGCCAGCAGCCGCGGUAAUACGGAGGGUGCAAGCGUUACUCGGAAUCACUGGGCGUAAAGGACGCGUAGGCGAGUUGGAAAGUCAGGUGUGAAAUCCUACAGCUUAACUGUAGAACUGCACUUGAAACUUCUAAUCUAGAGUAUGGGAGGGGGGGAUGGAAUUAGUGGUGUAGGGGUAAAAUCCGUAGAUAUCACUAGGAAUACCUAAAGCGAAGGCGAUCUCCUGGAACAUUACUGACGCUAAGGCGUGAAAGCGUGGGGAGCAAACAGGAUUAGAUACCCCUGUAGUC